UACGUAGGGUGCAAGCGUUGUCCGGAAUUAUUGGGCGUAAAGAGCGUGUAGGCGGCCUUACAGGUCAGCUGUGAAAACUCGAGGCUCAACCUCGAGACGUCGGUUGAAACCGUAAGGCUAGAGUCCGGAAGAGGAGAGUGGAAUUCCCGGUGUAGCGGUGAAAUGCGCAGAUAUCGGGAAGAACACCCGUGGCGAAGGCGGCUCUCUGGGACGGUACUGACGCUGAGACGCGAAAGCGUGGGGAGCGAACAGG
rnacentral:rRNA from 1 species